rnacentral:rRNA from 1 species
GACGAACGCUGGCGGCGUGCCUAAUACAUGCAAGUAGAACGCACAGUUUAUACCGUAGCUUGCUACACCAUAAACUGUGAGUUGCGAACGGGUGAGUAACGCGUAGGUAACCUGCCUGGUAGCGGGGGAUAACUAUUGAAAACGAUAGCUAAUACCGCAUAAUAUUGAUUAUUGCAUGAUAAUUGAUUGAAAGAUGCUAUUGCAUCACUACCAGAUGGACCUGCGUUGUAUUAGCUAGUAGGUGAGGUAACGGCUCACCUAGGCGACGAUACAUAGCCGACCUGAGAGGGUGAUCGGCCACACUGGGACUGAGACACGGCCCAGACUCCUACGGGAGGCAGCAGUAGGGAAUCUUCGGCAAUGGACGAAAGUCUGACCGAGCAACGCCGCGUGAGUGAAGAAGGGUUUCGGAUCGUAAAGCUCUGUUGUAAGAGAAGAACGGGUGUGAGAGUGGAAAGUUCACACUGUGACGGUAUCUUACCAGAAAGGGACGGCUAACUACGUG